rnacentral:rRNA from 1 species
GGCUUGCUGCCUUGGGAUCGGGAAACGCCCUAUCAGCUUGUUGGUGAGGUAACGGCUCACCAAGGCUAAGACGGGUAGCGGGUGUGAGAGCACGACCCGCCGCAUCGGGACUGAGACACUGCCCGGACUCCUACGGGAGGCUGCAGUAACGAAUAUUCCGCAAUGCGCGCAAGCGUGACGGAGCAAUGCCGCGUGUAGGAUGAAUCUCUUCGGAGUGUAAACUACUGUCAGAGACUAGGAACUCAAUGACUAAUCUCAAAGGAAGGGCCGGCUAACUUCGUGCCAGCAGCCGCGGUAAUACGAAGGGCCCGAGCGUUGCGCGGAAUUAUUGGGCUUAAAGGGUGCGUAGGCGGACCCGUUAGUGCUUUGUGAAAUCCCACGGCUCAACCGUGGAACUGCUCGGCAUACUGCGGGUCUUGAGGUCGGUAGAGGUCGCCGGAACUCUUGGUGUAGCGGUGAAAUGCGUAGAUAUCAAGAGGAACGCCAAUGGUGAAGACAGGCGGCUGGGCCGAUUCUGACGCUGAGGCACGAAAGCGUGGGUAGCGAACGGGAUUAGAUACCCCGGUAGUCCACGCCGUAAACAAUGUGCACUAGGUCGAGGGCGUUCUGACGCGACUCUCGGCCGAAGCGAAAGUGUUAAGUGCACCGCCUGGGGAGUACGGUCGCAAGGCUAAAACUCAAAGGAAUUGACGGGGGCUCACACAAGCGGUGGAGCAUGUGGCUUAAUUCGAGGCAACGCGAAGAACCUUAUCCUAGGUUUGACAUACACGGAUUAGCUAUAAGAAACUAUAGUGACACCUUCGGGUGGAACGUGAACAGGUGCUGCAUGGCUGUCGUCAGCUCGUGCUGUGAAGUGUCGGGUUAAGUCCCUUAACGAGCGCAACCCUUAUCGUUAGUUGCUAACAGGUAAUGCUGAGGACUCUAGCGAGACUGCCGGUGUUAAACCGGAGGAAGGUGGGGAUGACGUCAAGUCCGCAUGGCCUUUAUGCCUAGGGCUGCACACGUGCUACAAUGGCAAGUACAAAACGAAGCAAUACCGCGAGGUGGAGCAAAUCGCUAAAGCUUGCCCCAGUUCGGAUUGCAGGCUGCAACUCGCCUGCAUGAAGUUGGAAUCGCUAGUAAUCGUGGAUCAGCACGCCACGGUGAAUACGUUCCCGGGCCUUGUACACAC